rnacentral:rRNA from 1 species
UGGAGGCCUGCGGUUUAAUCGGACUCAACGCCGGGAAAACUCACCAGAUAAGACAGCUGAAUGAUAGUCGGGCUGAAGACUCUACUUGACUAGCUGAGAGGAGGUGCAUGGCCGUCGUCAGUUCGUACUGUGAAGCAUCCUGUUAAGUCAGGCAACGAGCGAGACCCACGCCAACAGUUGCCAGCUCGUCCUCCGGGAUGGUGGGGACACUGUUGGGACCGCCUCUGCUAAAGAGGAGGAAGGAAUGGGCAACGGUAGGUCAGCAUGCCCCGAAUUAUCUGGGCUACACGCGGGCUACAAUGGGUGGGACAAUGGGUAUCGACACCGAAAGGUGAAGGCAAUCUCCUAAACCCAUCCGUAGUUCGGAUUGUGGGCUGCAACUCGCCCACAUGAAGCUGGAAUCUGUAGUAAUCGUGUCUCAAAAUGGCACGGUGAAUAUGUCCCUGCUCCUU